rnacentral:rRNA from 1 species
GAAGGGAGCUUGCUCCCGGAUGUUAGCGGCGGACGGGUGAGUAACACGUGGGUAACCUGCCUGUAAGACUGGGAUAACUCCGGGAAACCGGAGCUAAUACCGGAUAGUUCCUUGAACCGCAUGGUUCAAGGAUGAAAGACGGUUUCGGCUGUCACUUACAGAUGGACCCGCGGCGCAUUAGCUAGUUGGUGGGGUAAUGGCUCACCAAGGCGACGAUGCGUAGCCGACCUGAGAGGGUGAUCGGCCACACUGGGACUGAGACACGGCCCAGACUCCUACGGGAGGCAGCAGUAGGGAAUCUUCCGCAAUGGACGAAAGUCUGACGGAGCAACGCCGCGUGAGUGAUGAAGGUUUUCGGAUCGUAAAGCUCUGUUGUUAGGGAAGAACAAGUGCGAGAGUAACUGCUCGCACCUUGACGGUACCUAACCAGAAAGCCACGGCUAACUACGUGCCAGCAGCCGCGGUAAUACGUAGGUGGCAAGCGUUGUCCGGAAUUAUUGGGCGUAAAGGGCUCGCAGGCGGUUUCUUAAGUCUGAUGUGAAAGCCCCCGGCUCAACCGGGGAGGGUCAUUGGAAACUGGGAAACUUGAGUGCAGAAGAGGAGAGUGGAAUUCCACGUGUAGCGGUGAAAUGCGUAGAGAUGUGGAGGAACACCAGUGGCGAAGGCGACUCUCUGGUCUGUAACUGACGCUGAGGAGCGAAAGCGUGGGGAGCGAACAGGAUUAGAUACCCUGGUAGUCCACGCCGUAAACGAUGAGUGCUAAGUGU